rnacentral:rRNA from 1 species
UACGGAGGAGGCAAGCGUUAUCCGGAAUUAUUGGGCGUAAAGCGUCCGUAGGUGGUUAUUCAAGUCAGUUGUUAAAGCGUGGGGCUUAACUCCAUAAAGGCAAUUGAAACUGAAUAGCUAGAGUGCGAUAGGGGCAAGGGGAAUUCCCUGAGUGUAGCGGUGAAAUGCGCAGAUAUCAGGAGGAACACCGGUGGCGAAGGCGGGUCUCUGG